GGUAGUAGUCCACGUGGAGGGUGUGUUUUAGAGGGGAUGUGUUCACCCGAUAUCGAUUUUGUUUUUACUAUCAGCUUCCCUCUGGCCAAACAUACCCCCCCGAAUAGCUUUCGUGGUGCAGUGACCUCGCCCUAUACAGAUGGAUAAUCAAGGGAGAAUUACAGGUCGAUCUGCUAGGCAAAUCAACAGUAAUGGCUACAAAUCUACAGGCGGUAGUUAAGGGCCAAAUGUUUCGGAAUGCUCUCCGUAACUACUUCUUUACGAACAUGUGGCUACUCUUGGGUAGUUAGGGAAGGGGGGAAUUACCAAGGAAAAAAAAAUCUACAGACCAAAAUAGUUCCAGUUAAUUUUCAAUUUAGAAUAACUAGCCCGACGUCCCCCCGUCAUCAAACCAUUAUUUUUUAACCUCAGGCUUGCAUGGAGAUAGUUAUGGGGAAAGGCAAGAUCAGGUGAGCGGGGGGAUUUUUCUCAUGGUGGUUGAUCGGCUGGCUUUGAUCACAAAGUACUACUUUUUGACAACCCCACUCAGCCCAAGCCGAGUGGGGGCACUGGGGGGUGAGAGUCGGGUUUCUUUUAUUUUUUAUUUAUUUAUUUAUUUUUUUUUUAUUUAUUUAAUUUUUUUUUUCUGUGGAGGGCAGAGUGGAUUGAGA
rnacentral:sRNA from 1 species